rnacentral:tRNA from 1 species
GUCCCUGUAGCACAAUGAAUAGCGUGUUGGACUUCUAAUCCAAAGGUCGUGGGUUUGAAUCCCACCUGAGAUG